UGUGAAGAUGACCCCACUGUGAAUUUAAAUGAGACCUGCAGGAUGCGUGCCCUCCAGGCAGGCCCAAUGGAAACUCCGACAGAGUCCAUGGCACCAGCCUUAAUGGGUAGAAACAUCUCAAAUGUCACCACCUUUGUGUUCAACUACUCAGCCUUCAAUAUAUCCCACCUGGUCUUGGACCAGCUGUUCCCUAGCACCAUCUCUACUCUGAUGGGAACCUGCCUGCAGGUUUUCCUGCCAUGCAGGAUUUCUGGAAGCCUCUGCACUUCAGGAUGAAGCUGGCCCAUGUACAUGUGAGCUCGCCUGCCUCAGAGCUGGAGGGCCACGCCUCCCUCCUCCAAGUCCAGCUGGAGGCUCCAGAGCCCGUGGAGGCAGAGCUGAAAGGUGAGGGCCCUGCAGUCUGGGAAGACAAUUUGCAGGAGGUUCACAGGCUGGGUUCUCUUAAGGCAGUGGGGUCCUUCCUGUCUUUGGAAAGCCUCAGGGGAGGUCAUCUACUUGAUGAUACUUUUUCUUUAUCCUGCUCCAGGACCAUCUCCAGAGCUCCCACCAGCUCCAGAGCCAGAGCAGGGGCCAGCUCCAUGGCCCAGGCCAGCUCCAGCUCUAGUUCUACUACCUGUGCUAGAGCUGGAGCAAGUGUCACCUCCAUCAGCCCCUCCAGGGCCAGAGCCAUGCCAACAACAGCUCCAGCCCCAGGGCCAGAUCCAGCUGGAGCCCGCUGGACCCUUGUCUCCAGGGAGAAUUCUACCUCCAUGUGGAGAGAGAACAUCAGAGCCGGAUCCAGCCCCAGAGCCCACCUCCCCCCGGGCUGUGACCACCAAGAGCCUGCUGUGGGAGGAGAAGCCUGACUUCCUGGGGUUCCCUCCCCAGCUGAUUGCAGAGCAAUUUACACUGAUGGAUGCGGCGUGCCAAGGCCUGAGGAAGUUUCCUUCACUCCACGCCAUCCUCUCUGCUCUGCAGAGCUGCACAAUCCAUCGGCUCAAAAAGACAUGGGGACACGUUUCCAGGUGGGUAGGCCUCUCUCCAUAUGAGCAACACCUUGAUGGACCAGACACCCGCCAUAGGGCUGGCAUUGCCUCCUCGGUCGGCUGGGACCUCCCAGGAGACAGCCCACCCUAG
rnacentral:lncRNA from 1 species